UACGUAGGGGCCGAGCGUUGUCCGGAAUCAUUGGGCGUAAAGAGCGCGUAGGCGGCCACUUAAGUCCUGCGUGAAAUCUUGCGGCUCAACCGCAAGCGGUCGUGGGAAACUGGGUGGCUAGAGUGCGGGAGAGGAGAGUGGAAUUCCUGGUGUAGCGGUGGAAUGCGCAGAUAUCAGGAAGAACACCCGUGGCGAAGGCGGCUCUCUGGAACGCAACUGACGCUGAGGCGCGAAAGCGUGGGGAGCAAACAGG
rnacentral:rRNA from 1 species